CUGUUGGCAACAGCAAGUGUUAACAGCACAGAAAAAGGAAAAUAUUUUGUAAAGAUCUGCAAAGAAUUAGUUUUUCAAAAAACGUUGAGGUUUUGGGGGAUGACUUACCACUGAAGACAUAUGAGGUUACUUUCUCCAGUGGCACCUGGCAGAAGAAGGGAGAGAUGACUUCUAAGUUUAUUUGGGAUCCAGUUUGUCCUUGCUAUUUCACCAAAAAUUCCUUGCAAGCUCUUCUAUGGCAUGAAAUAAAGUUCUCUCUUCUGCAGCAGAAGCACCAAGAAAGUGGCAGGUGUGAAAAGACCUGUGGUAAAGCUUGCAAAUUGCAAAAUAUCAAGAGCUGACUGGGCCAGAGAAUUUCCUUGCUGGAGCAGAAGGAGAGAUGAAGUACUACAGUAUCGCAAACAGGGGUCCAACACUCAUUUUCUCUGCAGUGGCCUGACCAUGCUCCCUCCAUCCAGUGGAAGAGGAAAGCAAAACAACAUCACCAGAGCUCAGCGAUCUGGUCUCAUCCCUGCCAGUCCUGGGACUGAGAGAUCCUGAAAUGUUUUCUGAAAUAUGUUGGUGUUUCCCAACCUUGGACUUCAACAAGAGAAGCAGCAAGGGGGACUCUGGUGUGCAGGACGUAUAUACAUGAACCCUUGUUAGGAAGGAGGGGAGAGAGAGAGAGAGAGAACCGUGUGCCAGCAACAGGGCUUAUAUCUCCUUUACCUGAAUAAGUCCCUUAAUAAUUACAGUGUUUAAAUAUUAGCCAUUCCUUUGGAUUAUUUUUUCUCUUUCAAACUUAAUAUUUUUUUUUCAAGCUAAUUAGCGCCAGAAUAUUUCUCUUAUUUUGGAGCUGUGCCCCUCUGAAGCAACCAGGGUGUGUAUUUCUGCUGGCUGGGGAAGCACCAGCCCCUUCCACCCCACUUACCUUGGUGCAUACUGGCUGCACGUGUUGUCUCAUGGUGGGAACAAAGGACCUGUGCCAAUCAGUUUGGAAAGAUAAUUGACUUCGGGCUGGUGACUGGUACUGUGGUGAUUCUGUUUGGUGAGCAAAAUAUUGACUUUCCCUGGUAGGAAAUGAACAUUGUAGAAAUGACUUGGAAGUGUCUUUUUUUUUUUUUUAAGAAUUUUAAAAUGAACUAGAGAGAGAAAGAAAAGGGAUUGCAACAGGGAAAAAAAUGACUACCUUGAAAAUAUAUCUGUUUUCACUUGUAAUAUUUGCAAUAUGCUUUGGAAGCUGGGAGAUUAAAUUUCUUUUCCUAUUGCUGUUUACCAGAAUGACACAAACUGUGCCUGUCUUUUCUGUUGUGAUUCAGUGGCACAGGAGCCAAUGUGGACUAGUUUUUCAGCAUUUGCUGUGCGUGCAGCAUCUUUGAUAAUAUUAACAGUGAUGUGUGCAACUCUGGGAAUACUAUUUAACUGCAGCAGGUAGGCAAGCAUGUCAUCUUCUGGGAGAGCCAGGCUGCUGUUUUCUUUUUAUUUUUUGGAAAUAUUCUUAUCUCAGUGUAGUGGUGUGUGUGUGUAUAUAUAUAUAUAUAUAUAUAUAUGUGUGUUAAUUGUAAAAUUUUACAAGUGGGUUUGGUUCAGAUUCCCAGAGAAAUACAGUUCUGACUCUGCAGAUGUUUAAACCACAUGUGUAUCCUUUGUGUGUAUAGUGCAUACGACAUUAAGAAACACUUUAAUAGCUUGAAAAAUGUUUUCAGACUGUGCUCCUGAAGUCAGUGGAACUCUCUAUGCACAUGCAAUUGCACAAGAAUAAAUUGGUUUUGAUCCU